AGGUAAGGGGCAUGUGGAGUGAACAUGGGGUCUAAGGUUUGAGUAGUGGUGCAUAAAAAAGGGAGUAUUUAUUUUGCUGCCUAAUUCGUAUGGGUGGUAAAGUUGGAUUGAAAUACUGCUAAAUGGAGUUUGAACUGGUCAUAGAGAGAAUUGAGGAGGGAUAUUUGGAGAGAUUUGAGGAGAGAAUAUUGGGAUUUGGGGAGGUUGUUGUUGUGGAGAUCUAUAUAUCAUCUCAUUUGUUCCUUAUUCUCGAUGGGGGAUCAA
rnacentral:lncRNA from 1 species